rfam:Picea glauca, whole genome shotgun sequence.
ACAUCCAUUGUUGAAUGGUUAAAUCGCCCAACUCAUAAUUGGUGAACACGCGGGUUCAAUUCCUACUAGAUGUA